AACGCUUUUUCGCUUUUUAACAUUAAUUUUGUUGUUCAUUUUUCAUGGAUAAAGUAACGAAGAGGAGAGUUGAAAGUCUGUAGGGAAGGAGCUUUGUAUAAUAUCUAUUUGCAGUUUGUUCGUUUAUAUAUACAGUCAUUAUGCCGGCAUGCGCAAGGUAUACGGUAGUGUGUCUGUGUGUGUGUAGAUCGACUGUUACAGCUGCUCGAUGAUAAAUGAAGCUCAAAGAGUUUCUGUAUAAUUAUUGUAGGCUGCUAAUCAUAAUUAUUUCUUGAAUUGCAAUUAGUUGGCUUUGCAAAAUAAUGCUUACGGUUAUGUUUGCUUACUUUGAAAGCUAGUACAACGUACUUGUGUGUAGCAAAAUAGGGGAAUAACGAGAGAAUGAAGUAAAAUAAAAAGAAUUAAGCAUUAUCCACCAGGACCGAUGAAUCCAUCUAAAAUGUUGUAAAUUAUAUGUGCAGUGUAUUCAUUAAUAAUGGUACUGCAUGUAGCUUCAUUGCCUACACUGAGGCAUCAUCACCCUUUCAGUAACAUUCAUUUUUUUCUCAGGUCGCGUUGAAGGACACUUUGAAGGACUGCGACUGCCUUUGCUUGUUGACAGUCUCCCUGGGUACAUCAUCAACCUAUGUAGAAAAUGUAAGUAUUACUUCUCAGUGUAUCUAGCAAUUAUCCUAUUAUAUCCCUAGCUCUUUGCUGGAGGGAGGAGAGCCUCAUUGUCUGGUGGCAUGCACUCCACUUGCCCUAUUAAAAUGAAUCGAACUUUCAGUGAAUUUCCACAAUGGCACAGUUUCAAUACCGU